rnacentral:rRNA from 1 species
UCCUCGUACCUUUUGCAUCAUGAUUUAGCCAGAACCCUUAAGCAAAGAGAACUUUAGUUUAAAUCCCCGAAACGAGGUGAGCUACUCCAAGACAGCCUGUUUAUCAGGGCGAACCCGUCUCUGUGGCAAAAGAGUGGGAAGAGCUUAGAGUAGAGGUGACAAGCCAAUCGAACCCCGUCAUAGCUGGUUGCCUGAGAAUUGGAUAUAAGUUCAGCCUCCCGGGUUCUACCUAAACCGAGAGAGUUAGUCAAAGGAGGGACAGCCCCUUUGAAACAGGACACAACCUUAUCAGGAGGGUAAAGAUUACAUUGACUAAAGGAAAAAUAUUUUGGUAGGCCUUAAAGCAGCCACCCAAACAGAAAGCGUUCAAGCUCAGAUAUAUAUUCUAAUAAGUUAAUCUAAACCCCCUAAAUGUACCAGGCCAUCCUAUACCCCUAUAGGAGUGAUUAUGCUAGAAUGAGUAAUAAGAAGAGAUCUUCUCCUCGCACACGUAUAACUCGGAAUGGACAAACCACCGAAUAUUAACGAUCCCAAAUAAAACAGAGGGGCCUGGAAAACUAACAAGAAAACCUUCCUUCGUUAACCCUACACCGGCGUGCUAACAAGGAAAGACUAAAAGAAAGAGAAGGAACUCGGCAAAUAAGCCUCGCCUGUUUACCAAAAACACCGCCUCCUGCGAAUAGGAGGUCCCACCUGCCCAGUGACUUUUGUUCAACGGCCGCGGUAUGUUGACCGUGCAAAGGUAGCGUAAUCACUUGUCUUUUAAAUGAGGACCUGUAUGAAAGGUACCACGAGGGCUUAACUGUCUCCUCUCUCAAGUCAAUGAAAUUGAUCUCCCCGUGCAGAAGCGGGGAUAAAACUACAAGACGAGAAGACCCUGUGGAGCUUGAGACGCCUAGGCAGACAACGUCAAUCCCCUCUGAACAAAGACCCAAACCAGUUGGUACCUGCCUUAAUGUCUUCGGUUGGGGCGACCCUGGGGUAACAAAAAACCCCCACAUGGAAUGGGAGCACUCCCACAACUAAGGGCCAUGGCCCUAAUUAACAGAAUUUCUGACCAAACUCGAUCCGGCAAGUCCGAUUAAUAAAACGAGUUACCCCAGGGAUAACAGCGCAAUCCCCUUUCAGAGCCCAUAUCGACAAGGGGGUUUACGACCUCGAUGUUGGAUCAGGACAUCCCAGUGGUGCAG